rnacentral:rRNA from 1 species
UACGUAGGGUCCGAGCGUUGUCCGGAAUUAUUGGGCGUAAAGAGCUCGUAGGCGGUUUGUUGCGUCGGCUGUGAAAUCCCGAGGCUCAACCUCGGGUCUGCAGUCGAUACGAGCAAACUAGAGUGUUGCAGGGGAGACUGGAAUUCCUGGUGUAGCGGUGAAAUGCGUAGAUAUCUGGAGGAACACCGGUGGCGAAGGCGGCAUCCUGGACCAAUACUGACACUGAGGAGCGAAAGCCAGGGGAGCAAACGGG